rnacentral:rRNA from 1 species
AUUGAACGCUGGCGGCAUGCCUUACACAUGCAAGUCGAACGGUAACAGGUUAAGCUGGCGAGUGGCGCACGUGUGAGUAAUGUAUCUGAACGUGCCCAGUCGUGGGCUAUAACUUCUCGAAAGAGCAGCUAAUACCGCAUACUACCUGAGGGUGAAAGCGGGGGCUCGCAAGACCUCGCACAAUUUCAGCGGCCGAUAUCGGAUUAGCUAGUUGUUGAGGUAAAGGCUCACCAAGCCGACGACCUGUAGCUGGUCUGAGGGGAGGAUCAGCCACACGGGGACUGAGACACGGACCAGACUCCUGCGGGAGGCAGCAGUGGGGAAUGUGAGACAAUGGGCGCGAGCAUGAUACAGCCAUGCCGAGCGCGGGAAGAAAGCCCUCGGGUUGUAAACAGCUUCUGUCAGGGAAGAAAAGGUUCUGGCUAAUACCUGGGACUCAUGACGGUAACUGAAGAAUAAGCACCGGCUAACUACGUG